GACAGAGGUGCCGAGCGUUUAGGCGGAAUCACUGGGCUUAAAGCGUGUGUAGGCGGACCGUUAAGUACCUUGUGAAAUCCCACGGCUCAACCGUGGAACGGCUGGGUAUACUGGCGGUCUUGGGCCACCUAGGGGUCAUCGGAACAGGCGGUGGAGCGGUGAAAUGCGUAGAUAUCGCUUGGAACGCCAAAGGUGAAGACAGGUUGCUGGAGAUAUGCCGACACUGAGACGCGAAAGCCAGGGGAGCAAACGGG
rnacentral:rRNA from 1 species